UAUUUUAGGUGAGACCUGCCCACUGCUUAGGUAAACGGCCGCAGUACUUUGACUGUGCUAAGGUAGCAUAAUCAGUUGGCUUUUAAAUGGAGUCGGGAAUGAAUGGAUUAAUAGGGGGAAGCUGUCUCUAUUGUAUUUUAUUGAAUUUAAUUAGUAGGUGAAAAUACCUAUAUAUAGAAAAAAGACGAGAAGACCCUAGGAGUUUUUACUAUAUAUUAAUUUUUAAUUACCGUUUUUGUUGGGGCAACAUAGGAACAACUGAAAUUUCCUUUAUAAAUCUGCCGACUAUAUGUAUGAGAAAUAAAACUACCCUAGGGAUAACAGCGUAAUUUUUAAAAAAGUUUGCGACCUCGAUGUUGGAUUAGGAAAUUAUUUGGUUAGCCGCCAAAUAAAAUUGUUCUGUUCGAACUUAAUUUCCUACGU
rnacentral:rRNA from 1 species